GUAGGGAAUAUUGGACAAUGGGGGAAACCCUGAUCCAGCAAUGCCGCGUGGGUGAAGAAGGCCUGCGGGUUGUAAAGCCCUUUUGGUAGGGAAGAAAAGCCUGGGAUUAAUACUUCCGGGUAUUGACGUAACCUACAGAAGAAGCACCGGCUAACUCUGUGCCAGCAGCCGCGGUAAUACAGAGGGUGCAAGCGUUAAUCGGAAUUACUGGGCGUAAAGCGUGCGUAGGUGGCUGUGUAAGUCGGAUGUGAAAUCCCUGGGCUUAACCUAGGAACUGCAUUCGAUACUGCAUGGCUAGAGUACGGUAGAGGAUAGCGGAAUUCCCGGUGUAGCAGUGAAAUGCGUAGAUAUCGGGAGGAACACCAGUGGCGAAGGCGGCUAUCUGGACUGAUACUGACACUAAGGCACGAAAGCGUGGGGAGCAAACAGGAUUAGAAACCCCUGUAGUCC
rnacentral:rRNA from 1 species